UAAUUGAAGAGUUUGAUCAUGGCUCAGAUUGAACGCUGGCGGCAGGCCUAACACAUGCAAGUCGAGCGGUAACAGGAGAAAGCUUGCUUUCUUGCUGACGAGCGGCGGACGGGUGAGUAAUGUAUGGGGAUCUGCCCGAUAGAGGGGGAUAACUACUGGAAACGGUGGCUAAUACCGCAUAAUGUCUACGGACCAAAGCAGGGGCUCUUCGGACCUUGCACUAUCGGAUGAACCCAUAUGGGAUUAGCUAGUAGGUGGGGUAAAGGCUCACCUAGGCGACGAUCUCUAGCUGGUCUGAGAGGAUGAUCAGCCACACUGGGACUGAGACACGGCCCAGACUCCUACGGGAGGCAGCAGUGGGGAAUAUUGCACAAUGGGCGCAAGCCUGAUGCAGCCAUGCCGCGUGUAUGAAGAAGGCCUUAGGGUUGUAA
rnacentral:rRNA from 1 species